rnacentral:rRNA from 1 species
GAGUAGGGGAGGCGUAGGAAACCGAGUCCGAAUAGGGCGCAUAGUUGCUGGGCGUAGACCCGAAACCAAGUGAUCUAUCCAUGGCCAGGUUGAAGGUGCCGUAACAGGUACUGGAGGACCGAACCCACUAGUGUUGCAAAACUAGGGGAUGAGCUGUGGAUAGGGGUGAAAGGCUAAAACAAACUUGGAAAAUAGCUGGUUCUCUCCGAAAACUAUUUAGGUAGUGCCUCACGUAUCACUCUCGGGGGUAGAGCACUGUCAUGGCUAGGGGGUCAUCGCGAACUUACCAAACCAUAGCAAAACUCCGAAUACCGAGAAGUGCGAGCGUGGGAGACAGACAUCGGGUGCUAACGUCCGGUGUCAAGAGGGAAACAACCCAGACCGCCAGCUAAGGUCCCCAAAUGACGUGCUAAGUGGUAAACGAAGUGGG